GGACCACCACCUUCAGGGACGAGACCGUCUUCACCACCGCCACCUGCUGGUCUUCACGGGUCACUUCCUGAGUGGCCACCUUAAAGAGAGAGACACAGUUAAAAUAAGGGAAAAGCCACAUGAAGUUUAUAAAAAGGAUGGGUCGCUGGAAGAAGGAGGAGGAGGGAUGAUGCCCAGGGACGACACAUUGAAGCCGAUGGACUGACUCAGAUUGCCAGAGACAGCAGCGCGGCCCAGAUCAUCAGCAAUGUUCUUCAGGACUUCAAACUGUUGGUCUUGUACUGCAGACGGAAUAAAGCCAGAUUGUUGACCAGAUUAUCCCCGAAGAACUCCUCCUCGGUCAUGGCUGGGAGAUUGAAGGCCAGGAACAGAACCGGAGAGGUGCGGAUUUGGACCGGCUCUGAGCCACGAAGAAGGGGUGGUGUUUAACACCAGUUUUCAUGCUGUGCUUUACCUGUGUCCAGCAUUUAGCAGCAUAAGUCUCAGCUUCUGUGGUGUUGUGCUGGUGAAAUAGAUGUCAAAGGAUUUAUUGGUGGCAACGAUGGAGUGGAAUAGAGAUACACGUUUCUGACACGUGUAGCCGGCACACCAGCCGUGGUCUUGUGGACCUGUGACGAGAUAUUUACACGAAGCUGCCUCUGAAUCCGUACCUUCUCCAACGGUGUAAUGGAUCACGUUGUCUUCGAUACUCAGCUCAUCUGUCCCAAAAACACCAAUAGCAGGAGCAAAGCCAUUGUGAAAAGCACAUCCCUUGAUUUAUAAAACACCAGAGAGUAUCGUGGGUCGGAGAUGUCGUUCCAUCCCUCCUGCCCGGUGUGGUAGAACUGGACGUUUCUGAUCUGGGCUUUUCCUGUGACGCAAAUAUCAUCAGCAUUAAUGAUUUUUUUAAUCCUUAUGCUGUGCUAGAAAGGGCUGGUUAGCCAAUGAUGAUAUGUGCAAAUAUUAUACUUUCAUAUUUAAAACAGUUUUUUUUUUUUUUUUUUUUUUUAAUUCUUUCUCUUAUUUUUUUCCAUUAGUGGAGUGGUUUUUUUGUAGGAUAUGUCCUGCUUGUACGUCAAGACUGAGGCCCAGCGGUUUAUACCUCUGAAAUCAAUUCCUCCGCUAAAGAUAAAGGCUGGUCCAGAGUCAGCGUGCGGCCAUAAUCUGUGACCACAGUGAUAGUGCGGAUUUCUGUCUGCCAAGGGUCAUAGCUGGUGGUGGACAGCAGGAUCUGAUCCCCAACCUGGAGCUGAGAAACAACUUUCAAACCUGUGUUGAAUCCAUCAGGGCAAGCCUGAAUCUGAUCAUUCCACUCCACAUUGUUGGAUCCACGGACAACAAUGUUUCUGGGGUUCGGUCAAAGUGAGGGUCCUUCCAUCAGCUGAAACUGAGGCCACUCUCUUCAGCUCGUUCUCAAUCUGGCUGUGUCUGUGGAUUCCAUCAAAACAACAUAUGCUAGAAUGACAUCACUAUUAUUAGAAGAGCAUUUAGUACCUGCAAUUUGAGCAAAAACAGUUUGGGCGACGAUCUGUACCUGUGCCCCGUGGAAGCGAUAAUAAUUUCAUCACCAGUCUUCCAGGUAACAACAUCCAUCAACGUCAGCGUGUUGGAGCCACUUUGUGCAGUCUGAGAAAGGCGAGUCCAUGUCAUAGGGACAGGGAUUCCUACAGAACUGAACUCGCACUUGAGUGUCUUGGGAUCUGGACUGAGCAUUGGUCACACAGAUGAUCUGCGACUCGCUGGCUGACUGGACGUCACAAACAGACCCCGCAAUUGUGACAGAGACUUCGUUGACAUUUGAGCUACAG